AAGCUGCCAAAGAGGAGAGAAAAUGUCACACGACAUCACAAAAACUGCACUGGGUCACCUCUUCAUCAUGAAAUGGCAAAAGAGUGUUCACAAUAAGCAUUUCUGCUAAUGAUCUUUCCUGCUCCUAUGCGCCGUGGAGCUGUAACGGUCCCUAGUGAUUCUCAUGAGACCCAUGUUGCAAGGAAAGAGAAACAGAUGGGAUUCAAGAGAAUGAACCUGGGACCCCCAGGACCUGAUAUAAGAAGAGCUAAAAUUACAAGAGGCUUGUUGGAAGAAAUGUCAUACUCCAUAUACCUUCAGCUAUGACACUUGCUGGAAUUCUCGCUGGAGAAGAGACUAAGGCAGAGCUACUGGGAGAAAGAGCUGGAAGACAAAGCUGCCAACAGUGAGGCCAUCCUCUAAGAAGGCCAACCAGCAGAACACCACUUCAGUGGCUGCCAGUGAAACUCAAAAGGGGGGGCAGGACUAGAAUCCAUGGCUAAAAGUCAAGUUUAGUCAUUAGGAAGGAAAAGCCUGUAGAAGUCUCUGGAUGGGGGUUGAGUUUAUUUUCCAGCAGUUAGAGUCAGGUUCAGGGAGGCCUGUCGGUGCUAAGAGGGAGGAACUGUCUGAAGGUUCAGAGGUCUUGUAAUACAGCGGAGGGCUAGAGUGUAAAUUAGGACCCAGAGUACAAAUCCAACUGCACAAACCAAGGGAUUAGUGCUGGAAGGUGAAGGAGGGAACCAUGACUCAGUGCACUCAAGGUAGCCAGGGUACAUACACCAUAAACCCUACUGGGAAGAGGAAAUUGGUGCUAGCCCUCAGGACGGAUGGAUGUCUGAAUUGGUUUCUUUUGCUCCAGUGAAUGGGCAAGGCUAUGAUAACAGGACCUUUUGUACCUGUGUUGCAUGACUCACGGAACAGGCAGGUAUGAAUGCAGGCUAAGAAGAGAGGGGUUUGGUCCAGGUUUUGGACAUUCCUACUGUCCUGAAGAACCAAAGAGCCUGGCAAAAACUCCAGUGCUCUGGUGUUCUGUUCAAGUCCCAGUGUGUGAUGUUUCUGUUUCUCAGGAGCUUUCCUCGAAUUGCCUCCCCACUGUGGGCACUUGAGAAGUGAUGGCUGCCACCACCCUCAACACUAUUAUUAUUUCCUUCCAGGUCAAUACCAUCAUCCCAGGAGUUAAAUGAUAACCUCUUUGCUCAUUUAAAAUGUCAUGCUCAUGACUGAUUGACAUUGUUUUUGAAGUGCUCUUGUUCCAAAAUUAGACACAUAAUAUUUUAAACAGCACAUAACUUAGAAGCAUAUGGAAAUCCUAUGAAGGAUACGUAUACUACAAAUGGAGGGUGUCGGUUCAGAUGCUUUUGGAUGGAGAUACCAGAAAAUUGGCCUCGAACUGGCUUAAAUAAUAGAGGGAACUAACUGGCUCUCCAAAGGGAGAACUGGAAGUGACUUCAGAUGUGGACUGGUCCAGUAGUUCAAUGAUACCAAGGAAUGAGGUUCCUUUCUUUCCUUCUUUCUUGCCUCGGUUGGCUUGCCUCUGAGGUAAGUUUGCCAGCACUGCUAGGCUACACACAUCUUUAUUUAUGCACAGCAAGAAACAGAUUAUCU